rnacentral:misc_RNA from 1 species
CAUUCAGUAGCCUAGCUACUUGUUUACACCCUUGUUUUUUUGCGCACUUCACUGUAUCCCUCGGCGGGCUUGCUCGCCGGUUUGGACAACAUUUAUAACCUUUUUUAAUCUUCAAUCAGCGUCUGAAUUAUAUUUAAUAAUUA